CCUAGGUCGGAUUAGCUAGUUGGUGAGGUAAUGGCUCACCAAGGCGACGAUCCGUAACUGGUCUGAGAGGAUGAUCAGUCACACUGGAACUGAGACACGGUCCAGACUCCUACGGGAGGCAGCAGUGGGGAAUAUUGGACAAUGGGCGAAAGCCUGAUCCAGCCAUGCCGCGUGUGUGAAGAAGGUCUUCGGAUUGUAAAGCACUUUAAGUUGGGAGGAAGGGUUGUAGAUUAAUACUCUGCAAUUUUGACGUUACCGACAGAAUAAGCACCGGCUAACUCUGUGCCAGCAGCCGCGGUAAUACAGAGGGUGCAAGCGUUAAUCGGAAUUACUGGGCGUAAAGCGCGCGUAGGUGGUUUGUUAAGUUGGAUGUGAAAUCCCCGGGCUCAACCUGGGAACUGCAUUCAAAACUGACUGACUAGAGUAUGGUAGAGGGUGGUGGAAUUUCCUGUGUAGCGGUGAAAUGCGUAGAUAUAGGAAGGAACACCAGUGGCGAAGGCGACCACCUGGACUAAUACUGACACUGAGGUGCGAAAGCGUGGGGAGCAAACAGGAUUAGAUACCCUGGUAGUCCACGCCGUAAACGAUGUCAACUAGCCGUUGGAAGCCUUGAGCUUU
rnacentral:rRNA from 1 species